GGGCCCUUAGCUCAGUUGGCUAGAGCGCUUGCAUGGCAUGCAAGAGGUCACGAGUUCGAAUCUCGUAGGGUCCACCA
rnacentral:tRNA from 1 species